UAAAACACCCAAGAAAUACUACAAUGCUUUCUACUUCCUAAUAAUACUCCACCAUCACUGAUAACAACAACAUGUAAUCCCGCACUAUCCUAAAUGACAGGACAUAAUCAUACUAUAAUCCAAACUCUGGAGUUCUUCACCAUUAACUGCCUUCACAUUACAAUGUUUCACACAAACACAAACUCAUUCUCUCUGCUGAACUACAAUCAGAUUUCAGCAUUCAAUCUUUCUUCUUCCCAUUUAAUAACAAUCAUACUUCCAUUCCAUAAUUCACUUUCAAAAUAUUUAGAAA
rnacentral:lncRNA from 1 species